UGUAGGCCCAAAAAGACAGAACAUGGAUAAGAGGGAAAAGUCCCUGAGACAAAUUUGAGCCUGGAUAGGACAUGGGUAAGAGGAAACCUAAGGUUCCUUGAGAUAAGUGUGAGCAUUUGUCUCAGGCUUUGCAUGGUCCAGGUGCAUUUGAUGCUUGCCACAAACAGACAGUACAGUCUCUAGCCUGUCUGCCCUUAUGGGACCCCAGCUGUGGCAAAGGAGAAAAAGAUUAGGAAAUAGAUAAACAACAAUUUUAGCCCCCAUGGAAAUGGAAACUCAAGGUGUUAGGAACAAUAGCUGGGUGUGAGUCUGGAAGUGGAUUCUGUCCACACACAUUGGUUUAAUCCCAAAUCUGUUUCCCCAUGGAAGCCUGUACAUGUCCAUAAAUCCAUUCCAUAGCCAGCUUCUCCAGGGCUGGAUGACCCCUCCCCUGGCUUCCUCAUGGGAGCCUUGGUCUCACCAUAAUAAGAAGAGCUAUAAACUGAAUCCACAGUUUAUGUGUAGGGACCUCACAGCCUCCCUUUGGGGUAUAUGCUAUUUUUACCCAGCUCUACAGAUAAGAAGAUGGAGGCCCAGAGAGACUCUUAACUUUCCCCAAGGUCACAGAAAGGAGUGGAAGAGCUUGGAUUUGAACCCAGACCAUUAACUGUUAACCACUAUGUUCUACUAUGUCAUGUGGGUGGGAAAAAAAUACUAGUACAAGACGUUCAUGUUUUACGCAUCUGAUUUUAUUUACCCACUGCCAUAAACUUAGUAGGCAAGUACAACUGGCUAAUCUCAUUUUAUAAGUGAGGAAACUGAGGCAUUCAGGAAUCUUGCCCAAAUUCUACUGUCUGUAGGAGGCAGAAAUAUAUUUUAGGAUUAUCUUUUUCAGAUGGAUUUGAAAUGCUAAUGUGCCUUGAGUUUAAUUUGGAAGCUUGGGAUGGGUGAUAACUGUAAUGUCUAAAUCUGGCUUUCAUCAAUCAUGAUGUUCUUCAUGUGCAAAUUUAUAUUAGAUCAGGAGCGGGAACAUGAAAAAUGAAGAAUGAUGGCACCUUGAUCGUUCUAUUGUUGGAAAGCCAUUUUCUGGGGUUCACAGACACCUAAGAAAUUGGACAAUGUUAGAGCCAAAGAUCGAGGUUUAAAAACAAAAAUCACACCAUUCUCUAUGUAAAUUGGUUCCUUGGUGAAAAAAGAAACCAAAUGUACUACUGUUUGUGGGCUGUCUGGAUGUGUUACAAAUGCUGUAGAGUGGGAGUGUGUGAUAAUUUUUUUUUUUUAAAUUGAGGGCCCAUUACAAGACAUACUUGGGUUGUUUCAACUCCCUGAAGCUCAUGAAUUGGUUCAAGAACAAAAAGCAUGAAUCACUUUAAUGUGGUGGUACAGGGACAUCUGCCUGGAUAAUUUCUGACCUUUUUCUUUUUGGUUGUGGUUAUAUAUAGGAAUUGCUGCUUGAUCAAAGGUGGGCUUGGGGAACUAUAGCCUCUAAGUUUUGUGAGAACAGGAUCUGUGUGUUUAUUGCUUUUUAUUUCAUGUAUAAACCAGAGGUACACAGUAAAUUGUGGGGUAUUUUGUUUUUGUUUUUGUUUUGAGACAAGGUUGCUAUGUAGUCAAGGCUAACCUUGAACUUGGAGUCCUCUUGUUUCAGCCACUGGAGUGCUGGGCUUACAGGUGUGUGCUACUAUGCCCAGCUUGUUAUAAAUGGUUAAAAUUUAACAGUGAACCUAGGAAUACUUGAAUUCUCUUCCAUGCCAGGUCUGCUUCUUUCUAGGAUGAUCCUAAAGGCUUGGGAGGUCGCUAAACACUAAUGAGGUCUUAUAGCAAGGGUCCAUCUGGUUUGGGGCCUGCAACCAGGGUAAAACUCAGCCAGGUAGAGGAAGUAGCCUAGUCUGAGAGUCUAAACAGCCCCGUUCCCUAUUGUAGCUCAGUUCUUACCAUCCUUCCAGAAUGGCAGAGAGUGGCACUAGGCCUGGUGACCUCAGGAGGAAGGUAUGAAUUGGGUAUCAUGAUGGCCUGUUCAGAAGAGAUUCUGCUUUUACUCAGGGAAGACUCAAGGAAAAUAGAUCCUGGGUAAUACAGAUCUCCAUAGGAGUGUGAUUUCUAUUUUUGGCAGUACUUUAUGGAUUCAGGGCUUCAUAAUUCCUUAGUAGGUACUCUUACUUCUGAGCUAUACCUGUUAUUUUUCCUGCCCAGAUGAGUGCCUAGGCACCAUCUAUCUGUUAAGCUUUCUUAUAUUUAGGAUGACAGGCCCACACCACAAAGUUUACCUUUUUGUUGAGAAGGAGUCUCACAAACUUUUUUCUGCAUAGGCUGGUCUUGAACCAUGAUCCCAACAAUCUCAAAUUCAAAAUACACGUGUGAGCCAUAGCAACUGGCUAUGUUCUGAUUUUUUUUUGUACUAGUACUGGGGUUUGAACUCAGUGCCUCUUACUCUCAUUCACAGCUGAUACUCUACAGAUUGAGCUGCACCUCCAGCUUUUUUUUUUCCUCCAGUUAAUUGGAGAUGAAAUCUAGUGUGCUGUUUUGCUCAGGCUCACUUUGAACCUCAGAUUUCCAGGUUUUAGCCUCCUAA